CUGUGAGUUUAACACUUAACGACUGAGAGCUGUCCUUCAUGACAACAGAACCCACAACAACCAUGACAUUUUUUACCAUCCUCAUUUGCACACUUGCAUUCAACAUCAAGGAAUCUAGAGGUCAGUACACUGUGACUCAGACUCCUGCAGUGAAAGCUGUUCUCCCAGGACAGACAGUCUCUCUGAACUGUAAAACCAGCAGUAAUGUGCAUGGCGCAGGAGGCACUUAUCCCUGCCUAGCCUGGUAUCAACAGAAAGCUGGAGGAGCUCCUAAACUCCUUAUUUACUAUGCUAAAACACUUCAGUCUGGGACUCCAUCUAGAUUCAGUGGCAGUGGAACUCAUAGUGACUUCACUCUGACCAUCAGUGGAGUCCAGGCUGAAGAUGCAGGGGAUUACUACUGUCAGAGUUUACACUACCCCAAUAGUAAACAUGUGUGGACUUUUGGAAGCGGCACCAGACUAGAUGUUGGAAGUAACAGUGCCCCCACCCUCACCAUCCUGCCCCCCUCUAGUGAGGAGCUGUCCAGUACAACAAUAGCCACACUGACGUGUCUGGCCAACAAGGGCUUCCCCUCAGACUGGACCAUGAGCUGGAAAGUGGAUGGGACCAGCAAAAAGCAGGAGACCAGUCCCAGGGUCCUGGAGAAGGACGGCCUGUACAGCUGGAGCAGCACCCUGAAUCUCACUGCCCAGGAGUGGACCAAGGCAGGAGAGGUGACCUGUGAAGCCCAGCAGAAAUCCCAGACUCCAGUCACCAAGACCUUGAGGAAGGCUGACUGUUCUGGGUAGGACCCACCAGUCACAAACCCCUAUGGAGCGAGGCUGCUGGUUCCUUUGCUUCAACUCUGUUCUGAGAUCAGAUGUUCUCUGUCUUAUUGAUCCCUGACAUGUAGACCAAAGGGGGCUUUGCUUGAGUUUAUGUGUCAAUCCUCUCUGUAGACUGAGGUUGUAUCAGUGUUAGAUUUGAUGUGUUCUGUUUUAUUACUAUUAGAUACUGUAGGAAUGUUUGCUUUGAUGCUUUAAUUAAUGGAUGAAAAUAAAGAUUUCCCUUUUGGACUAAGA